UCGUAUGCAAACGAACCUGGAAGACUAGCGCCGCCCCCGCGGUAAGCCACUCCUCCUCGUCUGGGUCCCUGGCGCUGUGGAAAGCAGAGUGAGAUAAAUUGCUGGGAGCUAGAGCUCGCUAGAGGGACCAAGACUGAGCUAAACAUUUCGUGAUCUCUUGAGGAGGGAAGGGGGAGCUAAAACGUUAUUUUCCACCGGGGUAGGGACUAGGCUUCCUGUCAGCCAAAAUCCAAGCUUGGCUGUAAAGAAGGCAAUGGGGUAGCGCUUUGCCUUUAGGAUCUCGAAGAACUUUAUGCAUCACUGAGAUUGCGAGCUCUGUGAGAAAGCCCAGAGAUGGGAGUGGGGUAAGGGAUGUGGGUAAAGAAAUCUGAGGUAUAUUUCAGCAAUCAGUCGAGCGUUUGUGUUGGAGCAUUUCCCUCUCGCCCCCCUCCCAGCCGUGGAAGUUCCUCGGCUUGUCCGUCACGAAAGGGCUAGCGAGAGCGAGGUCAGUCUCGUCACCCCCAUAGGCCGGCUCUGAGGCAGCCCGUCCGAUUCGUGCGGAGAGAGCUCAGAGCCCUGCCCGGGAAGGCAGCCUCAGAGAGCAAACUGCCAUUUAAAACUAUUGCUCUGGACCUGCCUCUCCCAGAGCUCAAAAAAAUGGACGAACCUUAAUGUCUACAUUCCUACCAUUGGGAGUUGUGGGAACCAGCGGCCCUGAAGAUUAGAAGCCUAUGUAGCAACAGCCGUUUGGGAAGCCUGGGGCCUCCCCUCGGUGACCACAGUUCCUUGGAAACCUGGCUUUGUCCUGAGAAGUUCUGUCUCCCAGCCCCUGACCCCGGUGUCUGCACAAUAAGAAGUAUCCAGCAAAUGCUGAAGCUUUGUGAAUGAUGCUGUCCUCUCUUGGGAUGAUGGACUGAAACAAGAAGAAUAGCUGAGCACAUUCAAGAAAAAUUUCUUGACAAUUUCUUUUGGAAGUUGCUGUCACGUGAUGACUGAUGAUGUGAAUGAAAUCAGCAGUAGCACUGUCAGGCAAGAAAGAGGGCCUUUGAGCAGAAGUGCCCAGGGAGCCUCUGUGGCUACGAGGUCGCCCUCAUGGAUGAUACUGAGGAAAACACUUUCACAUGUCUGUUUGGGCUGUUCCCUUGCAGCUUGGAUGAUGAGAGCCGUUAUUUCUGAUUUUCAUUUUAUGGCAAGUAAUGUGGAAGAGAGAUGUUCCUAAGGUGAUUGUAUUCACUUGCUGGGACUACUGGGCAAAAUAUCACAAAAUGCAUAGCUUAAGAAACAGAAAUUGGGGCUGACGUGGUGCAGUGGGUUAAGCUUCUGUUUGCGAUGCUGGCAUUCCAUAUAGGAAUGCAGUUUCUUUUUCUUUUUUAUUUUAAAGACUUAUUUAUUUUAUUUGAAAGUCAGAGUUACACAGAGAGAGGAGAGGCAGAGAGAGAGAGGAGUCUUCCAUCCCCUGGUUCACUCCCCAAUUGGCCACAACGGCCGGAGCUAAGCUGAUCUGAAGUCAGGAGCCAGGAGCUUCUUCCAGGUCUCCCUCGUGGGUGCAGGGGCCCAAGGACUUGGGCCAUCUUCUACUGCUUCCCCAGGCCAUAGCAGAGAGCUGGAUUGGAAGUGGAGCAGCUGGGUCUUGAACCAGCUCAUAUGGGAUGCCAGCACUGCAGGUGGUGGCUCUACCCACUAUGCCACGGCACCGGCCCCAUGGAAUGCAGUUUUGAAUCCUGCCUGUUCUGCUUCUGAUCCAGCAUCCACUGCGCCUGGGAAUGCAGUGAAUGAUGUCCCCAAGUGCUUGAGAAACUGCCAUCCAUGUAGGAGACCUGGAUGGAGCUCUGGGCUCCUAGCUUUGGCUUGGCCCUGCCCCAGCCAUUUCGACCAGUGGAGAGUGAACCAGGGAAUAGAAGACCUCUCUUUCUCUGUGUCUCUGUGUCUCUUCUUCUCUCUCUCUCUGCUACUGUGCCUUUCAAAUAAAUAAGUAAAUGAAUCUUUAAAAAAAGAAAACCAACAGAAACAUAUCAUUUCACAGUUUUGGGUCCUAGAAGUCUCAGGUCAAGGCUGGUCCUUGCUGAGGGCAGUGGGAAGAUCUAUGCUAUGCCUCUCCCCAGCUUCUGGUGGGGCUGGUAAUCUUUGGCAUUCCUUGGUUUGUCUAGAAACACUAGCACCCUGGUAUUUGCCUUCGCUAUGUUCCCAUGGUGUCCACCUUGUGUGUGUGGGUCUGUCUCCAAUUUUCUACCUUUUUUAGGGACAUGAGGCAUAUCAAGUUCAAGGUCUACUUCAUGACCUGAUUUUAACUCCAUUACCUUUGUAAAGAACCUAUCUCCAAAUAAAGUCAUAUUCUUAAGUACUGUGGGUUAGAAUGCCAACAUAUGAAUUGAGGGGGAUAAUAUUAAGCCUAACUGUGACCUCUGUGAAUUGCUAGCUGAACUGAGUUCAGAGCUCAGAGUCCAAAAGCCAGCUUCAUAGGAACAACAGAAGCGGAUUUUAUUUUUAAUUGAUUGAUUGAUAUGAAAGGCAGAGAGAAAAAGACAGAUCUUCCAUCCAUUGGUUCACCCCCUCAAAUGCUCACAACAGCUGGGAACGGGCAAGGCUAAAGCCAGGAGCCAGGAACUCCAUCCAGGUGUCUCAGGUGUGUGGAGGAACUCAAGUACCUGAGUCAUUACCUACUGAUUCCAAGGCAGAUUAGCAGGAAGCUGGAUUAGAAGUGGAGCAGUCAGGACUUGAACUGGUACUCUGAUUGGAAUUCAGGUGUUCCAAGCCUUGACUUAACCUGCUGCUCCACAAUGCCCUGCCUGGAACAAUCUUCAAUGACGUCCAUCUCUCUGCCUUGAGUUCACCUCCCAGUGCCAGUGAGACUUUUUUGUGCUACGAGAGACUCAGUGGGAGAGUUGGUAACAAAGCUCUAGAAGACACAGCUGAAUAAUCAUAUCACCUGCCCUGCUCCAGGCCCUUCUAGGGCAAAUGAACCCGAAAUCGGGGCAAGAGAGACAGGGAGGGAUGAAUAAAAUGAGAGAGACAGGGCCACAGAAAGUAAACCUAUUUUGAAGUAGAGGCAAAUUUAAAUUAUCCACAAGGGAAAUGAAGCUUAAGUUUUCAGGGUUUCCCUCAUCAACUCCUCAAGGCUCUGCACUUAAUUUUGUAUACUUUUUUAAAAGAGGCACCCUUCCUCAUAAAAUAUAAAAUCCAAUCUUUUCAAAACUUGGUCUGCCCUACUCCUAAGGAAAAUGCUGCGACUGUCCUUGUAGCUCAAAUGGGAUAAAAAUGUCUCUUCUCCUUCAUUCUGGAAAACAGGACUCACUUGGGUUUGUGUUCAGAGCAUCCUGCCUAAGUACCAGGCCUCAGCUACCAAACCUCACACACACGUCAGCAGUUUUGUCUCUUGUCCCACAUACUAGGAAUGCACCUCCCUGCUCCUUGUCAUGAAUGGCAGCUUCGGAGUCUUAGCAGAAGUUGUGGAUCUCUGGGCAGAUACUCCUGACACAGCAUGCAAUCAGAGUCCAGGACAGAUGCCCACCAGAGUGAGGUGGAAGAGCUGCUGCCUUGUCACUGGUGUCUGAGGGAUGAGCUGAUGCAGGCUGUGCAGCAAGUGGGGUGACCCUCACUGACUGGGCACUUCCGCUGCCUGCAGCAUUCUCUCAUGCACCUCUGAUGCCGGAACUGCAGGGAUGGGUUGGAACCAUCCUUUAGGGAAAUACUGGCACAUUGAACAAUCUGUGUCUCCUUAGACCUUGCCUUGCUUUUCCCUGGCAUCUGGGUUUUCCCUUCCUUAAUGUGAAUGCAGACCUGAAUAUCUGCAGAACUGCUCCUGGGCAGGGCUAGCUCUUCAUCUGCAGGUAAUGAACUUGGCAGGGAUGGUGGUAUUUAAUAGCUAAAGUUGAUUGAUCCAAAUGUCAACUAUUUCAUUUCUCAAAAAUGUUUUAUGUGUGUUGGAUUUUUCCCCUAAGUACAUAGCGUCUAUUUGAAUUUCUCUCUCUCUUACAUGAGAUUUAUUUAUGCCAUUCGUGCAGAAUAACUGAUGUCUUCCAUAAUCUAUCUCAGAACUCGCAUCCUGGAAUCCCAAGAGGCCUGAGACAAUGAAGCCAAAAGGAUCAGUACAUUCACUUACCUGCCGCCUAGGGAUGGGUCAGACCUUUACUUGGAAAGGCAACAUUAUCCUGUUCUUACGAGAACAGAGUGACAGGGCUUUACAAAAGGCUAGUCAUUACUUCAAAUUUCUAAACAAUCAAAUCAGGACAGUCAGUGAUUCCCUGGUGGCUGGACAUCACAAUGGCUAGGAAAACCCUACUUUAUACCAACUCUUCGUGAAGUUCAGUCAAUCCUGUGGACGCAGCCUGAGAAAUUAUUAGUCCUGCUGUGCUGAUGAAACCUUUGAUGUAUAAAGACCAAGUGGCUUACUCAACAUUAUAGUGACUCAGGCUUUUAAGUCAUGGAACCCAAGUGAAAUCUUAGUUGAGUAUUUCUGAUCUCAGGCUAAAAAAUGGAGGUGUGUGAUAAAAACUAGUCAGAAAGGAUGUGGGUAUGCACAAAUGUGAUGAGAGUAUGGCCAAGACUCCCAGAGACUAGAGCUGUAAGGUCACUCAGAAUCCACAGCAUUCCAAGGACCCCUUUGUUUCAACUCUUGCUCUCACCGGGGCAGGAGUGCAGACUCGGCAUUUCUCUGCCAUUCACGUGCUUCACCACUCUUCAGUUUGCCCACUUCUCUUGUACCAUCUCAUUGAAACUCAUCUUUUUCUUUUUGGUCUCCCACCAAAUUCCCUCAUUGGUUAGCACCUUCUAAUCAGAUCCCUUAUAAAUCACAGACCAGUAUCUGGACUAGUUACACUGGGGUCCCUGUGCACUCAUUUGCAGCUUGAACAGACCACAGGGAGUCAUGUGGGACAAGAGAUGACCACCUUGCUCCAGCCACAGCUACAGUCUGCUCUUUUUAGCCAGAGAGCAACUUCCUUGGGUGAGGGCAGUGGGGAGAUAAACACUCUGACUGAUCAUCUACUCUACAAGACACAUCGACCUAGCCAACAUUAUUUCCCCCAGGCAAGGGAUCAAGUAUGCCUAACAUGUAGCAAGGUGUCUGAUUUAAUUCAUCUCUAGAUUCUUUAAGAGAUGGGAAAGGUAGUUGGUGGUGGUGGCAAUUAGUGAAACCAAUUGCUACAAGGGAUCUCAUGCUCCUAAGGAAAGAAUAAAGAAGAAAGUAAGAGAAGAAAAUGGUUAUCAAUUAGAGGGCUGAUAUUUGCAGUAUUUCAGCAGUAACAUUAUACGGUUAAUGACUAGAUGUAGGUCCCCGGGACAUACAAUUAUUCACUGUGAGGCCUCGAGCAAGACAGUUCAUGGCUCGGAGCCUGGUUUGCUUCUAUAAAACAGGAGAUGAUAAUAGCAUCUGCCACCUACCUGCUUCUCCUGGGGUGUCUGAGGACAAGUUAACAUUUGCACUGUGCUUUGAAACUCUGGGAUGAAAGGUGUGAACAAACUAUAAAGAGAUACUGUGCUUGGUUAUUUGCAUUUGGUUGUGAGCCACUUGGAUUGCUUUUUGGAGGCCAGUACUGGCAGAUGUGGUGAGAGAAUGAAGGGCAGGGACAGGAGAGGAGACAGAGAUGCCAGGAGUAAGGGCCUGUAGCUGUCACCUGGGGAGAAACUCAACAGUCAAGAGAGGCUACGGCAGCCAGGAGAUUUACUGUCCAAUAGACCAAAGGGCAUGGCGAACUGUGACUUUUGUUCUUUCGGAUUUGCAAGAAAAGUUUUCAAAGCAGCAGGAUUGGACCUAGUGCAGCUCCCCCUGGAGUCUGGGUAGUCAGGGGACUAGCCCCAGCUCUGCCUUGCUCCUCCUGGUUUCUCCUCCUCUUCUCCACUCCCACUGAAGUGACUGUCUUUAGGCAGAGGCUGGAGAAGAUGCUUAUGUGAGGAUCCAUCCUGGCAUGUAAAAGUCUCAUAAAACCUCAGCCCUUAACCAGUUGCCAGUGCUUCCUACCCAGCUCAUAGGUUAGCCUCCCUUCCUCUUGAUUUUCUUGGUUGGGGUGGUUCCAGCUGGUCAUUGUAACUCAUUCCAUCUACAGUAAUCAGUGGUGUAUAUGGUGGGUUGGCAGGUGGCUGCCCAGUGCCUAGUUUGCCCUGGGCAGGCAGAAGCUGGAUAUUCCCAAGUCCACACUAAACCCUACUGCCUUCAUUUUACCACUACCUGUCUCUGAAUUAAGAUCCUAUGACCUUUGUUGAUUCACCUCGUCAUACCCACUAAUAAAACUUUGAUUACUUAGACUGCCUGGUGAAUUAGGUGAUUAUAAGACACUUUUAGACUUUAACAGAGGCAGAUUUUAAUGUAGGCACCCCUCAUCCCCACCCCCAAUCCUCGUUUGCUUCAGAAGGGUGUUUGACUAUGAGUCUCCUCACCUGUUAAAGUCACAGUGCCUAUACUACCUAUUCACAAGAGUAUUUUAAGAAUCUGAUGGUUUAAAGUAGGUGAGAGCACUUAGUAAAUGGUGAGCCAUUAUGCAAAUGUUAGUGAUUAUGUUGAAGAUGGUCAUUAGAUCCUGGACCUACCUGUGUGGAGUACAUUGUACAGAGGCGAUAAACUGAACAGGAUUUAAAUUAGCUAAUUAGAUUGGAGUUUUAAAAUGCUUUUACCUAAGCCAUUCAGAAACAGCAGGGCCCAAAUGCAGACAUCUGACCCUCUGCGCACAUGGAGAGGCAUGUGCAAAGGGCAAUUCUGUUCUUGGGCUCUGCUGGCAUCGAUGCCAGCAGGUGCAAGGGCCUGCCUUCUGUGUUGAUUCCCAGCUCUGGAGAUCUGUCAGAGGAGAUCUGGUAUUCCAGGGCAUGUGGUUAGGACAGGAUUCUAAGGGUAGUGGGAAACCACUGGAGGGUUUAAAACAGAAGGGUAAUUUGUUCUGAUUUACCUUGUAUAACAUUUCCCAGGCUACUGUAUAAAAAAAUGAAAUGCAGACAUUUGUAAACGCUGUCGUUCUUUUCAGCUGACAAACAUUUGAGCCCCAUCUGUGUUUGAGAAAUCCUCUGCCCUGCCCAAAGCAAUCUUGGCAGGACACUAUCCCCCUACUCCAGAAACUGCUCAGGCCAAAGACUCCUUAAACCCCUCUGAUAGCUAAAAAAUGGGCCCUGAUUCUUGACCUGGGACUCCAGAUCUUGCUCUGCUGCGACAAAGACCUAAGACAAGACAGAUUUACUGCACUGCGGGCAGAGCUGGCAGCACGAGGGCCCAGUGGAAUCCAGAGUCUACUGCCAGCCGGAGGCCAGUGCCAGUGAAAUAUCUAGGUCCAGCAAGGUAGUGAUGACAUCCUGGCCAACCUUACUUUCUUCGGUGCUUUUACUGAGAUUGGCUCCUUCCUAGGUUCCUACCCACCUAUAUCUGAGGCUACUUCUAUCACCUUCUCAUCAAUUCUGUGAUUUCAAAUAGAUUUCCACUAAUCCACUUUCUGCUUAACUGCACUACUAUUGUUAUCUAUUUGCUUACAAUCAAGAGCAAAGCAAUUACAUAGGGAGCUUUCACAGAAAUGAUGGUGGCUUGGAUUGAGUAUGGCAGUGCAGGUAGGAAGAAGUGACUGGAAUGGAUUUAGGGUAGUGUUGGAGGAUGAGUUGUCAGAAUUUACUGAUGGCUCACAUGUAGCAAAUUCAUCCUAUAACAUGUGGCAAGAGGCAAAGACGACUCAAAGAAACUUGAUAUUUGGCUUGAAGAUAUUGACACAUUUUUGUGUAAGCAUAGAAACAGUCUGGAAAGAAAGGCACUAAAUCUUUAUCCGGGUUUGUGUCUGGGAGUACAGCUGAAGCUAUGGUAAGGGCAGGGGCUUUUGUUCAUAUUUUAUACAAAAUGUAAUUUAUGUCAUAGUUACUUCAUAUUUUAUAUGCAAAAAAGUAAUAGUGGGCAGAUGUUUGUCACAGAAGUUAGGAAACUGCUUGGAAGACCUGUAUCCCAUGUUGAAGUGCCUGGUGUGAGUCCUAGAUCCUCUGUGUCUAAUCUAGCUUCCCAUCUGUGAGCACCCUAGGACCCAGCACAAGUGCUUGGGUCCCUGCCACCCACAUGGGAGACCCAGAUCUAGUUCCAGACUCUUGUCUUUGGCCUGGAUCAACCUCAGCAAUUGUAGGCAUUUGGGGAAUGAACCAAAAGGUAGAAGAUCUGUCUCUCUCCCUUUCUAAUAAAAUGAAAAAAAAAUUUUAAAAGUGGAAUCAUUAUGGAUUUUUAAAAUGUUCUGAUAUUGAAAAUAAAAUUAUAAAAAUAUUUUUAAGAACUUUUGUGGAAAAUUUAGGGGAGAUAUUUAAGACAGAAUUAGAUUAAUGGAGCAUGUCUGAGUGUGUUGAAAAGUUGAGAGGAGAAAUGAAGAGUUUUUUGGCUAAAUAGAAGAAAUGCUAUUUCAAAGGGAAGAGAAGAUUUAGAGUGGAACUUACCAGUCAUUGACUUUGAAGCGGAAGGUUUCACAACCAAGUGCUGGAGUACCGUCUCCGUAACUAACAUUAAUUACAUCUUUUGGAAGAAGAGCUAUGCUGCAUCCCAAACUCUCUGGAUUCCAGCAGCUAGCGGGAGUUUGCCCACAUCAGAGAUGAGAUGUUCCAGAAAAAGCAUGUGAAAAGACUGUGUAACCUUGCUCCCUCCCCAGGAAUCUGGACGUGGGAAGGGGAGGAUGUGCAGACGGAACAGGGCCGAGUUGAGGAAGCCAACGGUGGAGAGCUACUUGCCAAAAGAUGUGGAUAAAGAACAGGUGAGGCUUGUUAAUACUCAAAGCAAAGUUUAAAUAACAAAUCUGUCUGUUGGCCGAUUUGUUCAUUUCAAAUCUUGAGGAGGAGAGCCCAAAGCAGAGUCAAAUCCAAAUGUGUUCCAUGGCCAAAAAGCCAAGAUAGGCACAAGUUGUAUGCAGGGACCCAGGGGAGGCCUGGAGGGAGGGAGUUCUGGGUGGAAGUAUCUUGGAUACUGAAGAGUUCUUGAGAGAGCAGACAUCCUGUCUAGGUCCCAGGGAAUCUCCUGAGACCCAGAGGCAUGCAUCUGAGGGGAAGAGGAUAUAAAUCUGGUAGACCUUAUUCUAGACCUUAUCCUUCUACCCGUCCAUCCAUUUAGCAGCACCAACUAUAACCAAAUUCUUACAUUGACAUCAUUAGUUUAAAUUAACUUCAGGAGAAUAGUUGCAAAGAAAAGCAUUUUUAUGAAUUUUAAAUAUGCAGGAUUAUGAGAGUGAGACUAAAAAGUGUUGCCAACCAGAUCAGCAUUUAAGAAACAUUAAAAAUAGUUUGUAAGUAGCAUAUAAAUGUUUAGAUGUAAAUGCAUGCUACCAUGGUUUUUUUUUUAAGAUUUUAUUUAUUUAUUUGAGAGGUGGAGUUACAGACAGAGGGAGAGACAGAGAGAGGUCUUCCAUCCACUGAUUCACUCCCCAAAUGGUUGCAAUGGCCAGAGCUGAGCUGAUUUGAAACCAGGAGCCAGGAGCUUCUUCCAGGUCUCCCACAUGGGUGCAGGGGCCCAAGCACUUGGGCCAUCUUCCACUGUUUUCCCAGACCAUGCUGCUAAGGUUUUUAAAAUAUUUUUUGGGGGGCAAACUUGUCAAGUCACUGCUUGGGAUGCCCACAUCCCAUAAAGGAGUGCCAAUUUGAGUCCUGCUUCCUCUAUUUCCCAUCCAGCUUCCUUCUAGUCCAUCCUGGGAGGCACCAGAUGAUGGCUGGCUCAAAGUAGCUGGGUCCCUGCCACCCACAUCAGAGAUCCAAACUGACUUCUCAGUUCUUGGAUUCCAGCUGGCCCGGCCCAGGAUGUUGUGGGGAUUUGGGGAAGUGAACCAGCAAAUGGAAAAUUUCUCUCUCUCCCUCUCCCCUUCUCCCUCUCCCUCCCUCUCUCUUUUUCUCCUUCCAUGUCUUUCAAAUAAAUAAAAAAUAAACAAUUUUUAAAGUAAUAAAAAUAUGUAUUUCUCUACAUAAGCUAGACAAACUUGGGCUGGGAUUUUGAUUGUUGCCCUCAUUUACUUAGUCGACCUUUUCUUGUCAGACAACAUGAAGCUAACCACUCCAGACAAUGCCAGACUUAGCAUAUAUUUUAACAUAAUAGAUUUCCUGUCAUGAGAAUUGUUUCUAUUAACUGCAGCUCAAUAAAAAAAAGGUCUAGGAGCUGGGAGAAAUACACACACACACACACACACAAACAUAUAUAUUUAUACUGGUGUACAUAAAACCUCAUGUUAAGUUGCCUGAUGUUUUGAAUUAUUUCAAUUUGUCUCCAACCAGAGUGGAGUUAAGUCAGAGUUAAUGAGAUGGACGAGUCCCUGGAAUAAAAUUGUGAAUUUAAAAACAUCACAAUAUGGUUGCUAGGCUUCACUUUGGGAGCCUCAUUUAAGCUAUGGAGGGCAG